CGAGAAAGAAAAAGUUAGUUUUCUUGUGACUUCUUGGAUUAGUUGUGAACAGCAUUAGACAAGCGUCGAGGUGAGCUGCCGAGAAGCUGGACCGAGCUUGUGCUGUCGUGAGUUUUGACGGAGCCUGAUUGGCGAGAAACUGAACUGCGUGUCUGAUAUACCAGGAGGGGCAUUGCUCAUCGUGCUAGCUGAGAAGGUGUGUAGGCACGAGUGUUCGUCUUCUCCGGAAGGGAGCCGAGAUACUGUGAGUUUUUCUUCACUGCUGUUUAACCACAGUUGAUAUUCUGAAGAAUUACACGGACGUUAUUUGUUGUUUUUGAAGCAAAGCAGCUUGGAUUGAGUGAUUUUGCUAC